CACCUGACCUGAUUUACAUUGAGUAAUAGCACCUGUUGUGUUAUGGAGUAAUUUAAUACUGUGUGGAGUACAAGAAGUUGUUUGUAAUAAAUGGAGAAGGGAAGACUUCUAAAUAAGAUAUUCUACAUCAUUCCCUGGAAGCAUUCAGGGAACAUACCUGAAUUAGCAUUUCAGUAUGAAUUAGGAACGUGCUUUUGAAGUAAAGCUCCCCAUUGUCUCUACUUGCUGUGCUUGGAUUCACAUUUUGAAGUGGUCUUGGAGAGCACAAGACGGACGUUUGUGGGGGUAACCAAACAAUGUGCUCCAGCCAUUUCCAGCUACAGGGUGUGUCUGGGUCCUCCGCUGAGGCAGGCAGAAUCACUCUGCUGCAGGAAGGUGCCUAAAUUUGAGGCACUGAAAGCUUGUAUCAGCUGUCUGAAGGAAAAAAUGCAGUGCCACACAGGUUUCAAAAAGCAGACAUUGUAAGUGAUUCCUGCUUAUUGAGUAACAAUAUUAUAAAAAGAUGUAAAAAAUGGGGAAUAGUUAUAGAUUACAUAUUGCUUGAAUCAAGUAUUCUUAGAGAAAAAUAGAAU
rnacentral:lncRNA from 1 species